CCAUAGGCUCUUUUAAGAGCCAUCCACAUUGCACUUAUAGUAUUCU
rfam:Salmo salar isolate Sally breed double haploid chromosome ssa06, whole genome shotgun sequence.